CCUACGGGAGGCAGCAGUGAGGAAUAUUGGUCAAUGGGCGCGAGCCUGAACCAGCCAAGUCGCGUGAGGGAAGACGGUCCUAUGGAUUGUAAACCUCUUUUGUCGGGGAGCAAAAGACGCCACGCGUGGCGGUCCGAGAGUACCCGAAGAAAAAGGAUCGGCUAACUCCGUGCCAGCAGCCGCGGUAAUACGGAGGGUGCGAGCGUUAUCCGGAUUUAUUGGGUUUAAAGGGUGCGCAGGCGGAAGAUCAAGUCAGCGGUAAAAUUGAGAGGCUGAACCUCUUCGAGCCGUUGAAACUGGUUUUCUUGAGUGAGCGAGAAGUAGGCGGAAUGCGUGGUGUAGCGGUGAAAUGCAUAGAUAUCACGCAGAACUCCGAUUGCGAAGGCAGCAUACCGGCGCUCAACUGACGCUGAGGCACGAAAGUGUGGGUAUCGAACAGGAUUAGAUACCCGGGUAGUC
rnacentral:rRNA from 1 species